UGCUGUUUACAAUUUACACCCCCGUGUCCUGCUUCCUCGACGCGGCAUGGCUGGAUCAGGGUUGCCCCCAUUGUACAAAAUUCCCCACUGCUGCCUCCCGUAGG
rnacentral:rRNA from 1 species